CUUUCUUUGCUGGCGACCGGCGCACGGGUGGGUAACACGUAUCCAACCUGCCCUUUACUCGGGGAUAGCCUUUCGAAAGAAAGAUUAAUACCCGAUAGCAUAAUGAUUCCGCAUGGUUUCAUUAUUAAAGGAUUCCGGUAAAGGAUGGGGAUGCGUUCCAUUAGGUUGUUGGUGAGGUAACGGCUCACCAAGCCUUCGAUGGAUAGGGGUUCUGAGAGGAAGGUCCCCCACAUUGGAACUGAGACACGGUCUAA
rnacentral:rRNA from 1 species